rnacentral:rRNA from 1 species
UGAGGAAUAUUGGUCAAUGGGCGGAAGCCUGAACCAGCCAAGUCGCGUGAAGGAUGAAGGUAUUAUGUAUUGUAAACUUCUUUAGCAGUGGAGAAAUAAGGGGGUCGAGACCCCCGAUGCUAGUACACUGAGAAUAAGGAUCGGCUAACUCCGUGCCAGCAGCCGCGGUAAUACGGAGGAUGCGAGCGUUAUCCGGAUUUAUUGGGUUUAAAGGGUGCGCAGGCGGCGCGCCAAGUCAGCGGUCAAAGUUCCGGGCUCAACCCGGUGUCGCCGUUGAAACUGGCGUGCUCGAGUGCGUGCGAGGAAGGCGGAAUGCGUUGUGUAGCGGUGAAAUGCAUAGAUAUGACGCAGAACUCCGAUUGCGAAGGCAGCUUUCCAGCGCGCUACUGACGCUGAGGCACGAAAGCGUGGGGAUCGAACAGGAUUAGAUACCCUGGUAGU